CUGGGACUGAUACACGGCCCGACGCCGACGGGAGGGGAUUAUGGGGAAUUUUGUACAAUGGUGGCAAGCCUGAUCUGGCUUGCCGCGUGAGUGAAGAAGGCCUUCGGGUUGUAAAGCUCUUUCAGUUGAGAAGAAAAGAUUGUGACUAAUAAUUGCAAUUCAUGACGGUAUCAACAGAAGAAGCACCGGCUAACUACGUGCCAGCAGCCGCGGUAAUACGUAGGGUGCGAGCGUUAAUCGGAAUUACUGGGCGUAAAGGGUGCGCAGGCGGUUCUGUAAGUCAGAUGUGAAAUCCCCGGGCUUAACCUGGGAACUGCGUU
rnacentral:rRNA from 1 species